AGAGUUUGAUCCUGGCUCAGGACGAACGCUGGCGGCGUGCCUAACACAUGCAAGUCGAACGAAGCUUGACGAAUGAUUUCUUCGGAAUGAAAUCUGAUAUGACUGAGUGGCGGACGGGUGAGUAACGCGUGAGCAACCUGCCCUUCGGAACGGGAUAGUGUCUGGAAACGGACAGUAAUACCGUAUAACGUAUUUUUACCGCAUGAUAGAAAUACCAAAACUGAGGUGCCGAAGGAUGGGCUCGCGUCUGAUUAGAUAGUUGGUGGGGUAAUGGCCUACCAAGUCGACGAUCAGUAGCCGGACUGAGAGGUUGAACGGCCACAUUGGGACUGAGACACGGCCCAGACUCCUACGGGAGGCAGCAGUGGGGAAUAUUGCACAAUGGGGGAAACCCUGAUGCAGCAACGCCGCGUGAAGGAAGACGGUUUUCGGAUUGUAAACUUCUGUUCUUAGUGAAGAAUAAUGACGGUAGCUAAGGAGCAAGCCACGGCUAACUACGUGCCAGCAGCCGCGGUAAUACGUAGGUGGCAAGCGUUGUCCGGAAUUACUGGGUGUAAAGGGAGCGUAGGCGGGAUGCCAAGUCAGCUGUGAAAACUAUGGGCUUAACCUGUAGACUGCAGUUGAAACUGGUAUUCUUGAGUGAAGUAGAGGUUGGCGGAAUUCCGAGUGUAGCGGUGAAAUGCGUAGAUAUUCGGAGGAACACCGGUGGCGAAGGCGGCCAACUGGGCUUUAACUGACGCUGAGGCUCGAAAGUGUGGGGAGCAAACAGGAUUAGAUACCCUGGUAGUCCACACUGUAAACGAUGAUAACUAGGUGUGGGGGGUCUGACCCCUUCCGUGCCGCAGCUAACGCAAUAAGUUAUCCACCUGGGGAGUACGACCGCAAGGUUGAAACUCAAAGGAAUUGACGGGGACCCGCACAAGCAGUGGAUUAAUGGGGUUUAAUUCGAGGCAACGCGAAGAACCUUUACAAGCCUUUGACAUCCGACUAACGAAAUAAGAAUACUUUAGGUGCCCUCUCGGGGAAAAUCAAACAAGGGGGGGCGAGGUUUGCCCCCACCUCCGGCGCGGAAGAUGUGGGGUAAAUCCCCCCAACAAGCGGAACCCUCUCCCUUAUUUGUUAUCCCCAAAGACCCUCUAUGGGGCGCUCUCCGCCAGGGGGGGAGAAAGGGGGGGAGACCCAAAAUUAUUUCGCCCCUUUUGUGUGGGGGUCCACCCGUUAAAUAAGGGCCUCCAACAGAAAGAAGCAAUACCGCGAGGUGGAGCAAAACUUCAAAAAUGGUCUCAGUUCGGACUGCAGGCUGCAACCCGCCUGCACGAAGUUGGAAUUGCUAGUAAUCGUGGAUCAGCAUGCCACGGUGAAUACGUUCCCGGGUCUUGCACACACCGCCCGUC
rnacentral:rRNA from 1 species